GAUGAACGCUAGCGACAGGCCUAACACAUGCAAGUCGAGGGGCAGCAUAAAGGUAGCAAUACUUUGGUGGCGACCGGCGCACGGGUGAGUAACACGUAUGCAACCUACCUGUAAGAGGGGAAUAACCCGGAGAAAUUCGGACUAAUACCGCAUAAUACCACGAAGCUGCAUGGCUUUGUGUUUAAACAUUUAUGGCUUACAGAUGGGCAUGCGUAUGAUUAGAUAGUUGGUAGGGUAACGGCCUACCAAGUCAACGAUCAUUAGGGGUUCUGAGAGGAAGGUCCCCCACACUGGUACUGAGACACGGACCAGACUCCUACGGGAGGCAGCAGUGAGGAAUAUUGGUCAAUGGGCGAGAGCCUGAACCAGCCAAGUCGCGUGAAGGAAGAAGGUUCUAUGGAUUGUAAACUUCUUUUGUAAGGGAAUAAAAAGAGUUACGUGUAACUUAUUGUAUGUACUUUACGAAUAAGGAUCGGCUAACUCCGUGCCAGCCGCCGCGGUAAAAC
rnacentral:rRNA from 1 species